ensembl:snRNA U2 U2 spliceosomal RNA
AUCACUUCUUGUCCUCUUGGCUGAGGUGAAGUGCAGUAUCUGUUCUUGUCAGAUUAAUAUUGGAUAGUCCCCUCUCUGAGGACAGCACAGCAAAUGGGCUUUGGGCGCUAGGAGAUGGAAUGGAGCUGGCUGUGUGCGCUUCAUGCAAUCGUCCGGUAUUGCAGCACCUCUGGGAACAGUGAUCCCCUC